AAAACUCCUCCAACCACCAAACUUUAUUGUCCUUUUUCCCCCUCUUGAUUCUUCCAUCUCCAACGGAAUCAAGCUUCAUAAUAAGAGGGAUUUUGUCUUAAAAUCAUACAUUUUUUUGAUUAGCUAUUUAGCACAGUUUUUUCAGAUUCUGGAGGGGAAAAGGUUCAGACUUUGGAGAUAAAAUGGCGACUGGAGCAGUUCCGGCUUCUUUUACAGGUCUAAAGAGCAGGGAAAAUGGACUGGGUUUUGCAAAAAGCAUGGAGUUUGUUAGAGUUUCCAACACUCAAAGGGUUAAAUUUCGUCGAACCAAGGUUUCCGUAAUAAAAAAUUCAAAUCCUGGACAGGAAAUUGUUGAGCUUCAGCCUGCAUCAGAAGGGAGUCCACUAUUAGUUCCUAGACAAAAAUAUUGUGAGUCUGUGCACAAAACUAUCAGGAGAAAAACUCGCACG